rnacentral:rRNA from 1 species
GGCUUUUGGCCAGAUAGACUACACAUUUCUCAAUGAUUGACCUCGGAUCAGGUAGGGAUACCCGCUGAACUUAAGCAUAUCAAUAAGCGGAGGAAAAGAAACCAACAGGGAUUGCCCCAGUAACGGCGAGUGAAGCGGCAACAGCUCAAAUUUGAAAUCUGACCCCUUCGGGGCCCGAGUUGUAAUUUGUAGAGGAUGUUUCGGGUGCGGCGCCGGUCUAAGUCCCUUGGAACAGGGCGUCAUAGAGGGUGAGAAUCCCGUAUGCGACCGGCGACCAACCUCAUGUGAAACCCCUUCGACGAGUCGAGUUGUUUGGGAAUGCAGCUCAAAAUGGGUGGUAAAUUUCAUCUAAAGCUAAAUACCGGCCAGAGACCGAUAGCGCACAAGUAGAGUGAUCGAAAGAUGAAAAGCACUUUGGAAAGAGAGUCAAAAAGUACGUGAAAUUGUUGAAAGGGAAGCGCUUGCGACCAGACCUGUCCGCGAACGAUCAACCUCUGUUCUCAGGGGUGCACUCGUUCGCGAUCGGGCCAGCAUCGGUUCGGGCGGUGGGACAAAGGCCUUGGGAACGUAGCUGCCUUUCGGGGCAGUGUUAUAGCCCUCGGCGCAAUGCCAUCAGCCCGGACCGAGGACCGCGCUUCGGCUAGGAUGCUGGCGUAAUGGUUGCAAGCGACCCGUCUUGAAACACGGACCAAGGAGUCUAACAUUUAUGCGAGUGUUUGGGUAUCAAACCCAUGCGCGCAAUGAAAGUGAACGGAGGUGAGAACCCUUAAGGGGGCAUCAUCGACCGAUCCAGAUGUCUUCGGAUGGAUUUGAGUACGAGCAUAACUGUUGGGACCCGAAAGAUGGUGAACUAUGCCUGAAUAGGGUGAAGCCAGAGGAAACUCUGGUGGAGGCUCGCAGCGGUUCUGACGUGCAAAUCGAUCGUCAAAUUUGGGUAUAGGGGCGAAAGACUAAUCGAACCAUCCUAGUAGCUGGUUCCUGUCGAAGUUUCCCUCAGGAUAGCAGUAACGUUUUCAGUUUUAUGAGGUAAAGCGAAUGAUUAGAGGCCUUGGGGUUGAAACAACCUUAACCUAUUCUCAAACUUUAAAUAUGUAAGAAGUCCUUGUUACUUAGUUGAACGUGGACAUUCGAAUGUAUCGUUACUAGUGGGCCAUUUUUGGUAAGCAGAACUGGCGAUGCGGGAUGAACCGAACGCGAGGUUAAGGUGCCGGAAUGUACGCUCAUCAGACACCACAACAAAAGGUGUUGAUUCAUCUAGACAGCCGGACGGUGGCCAUGGAAGUCGGAACCCGCUAAGGAGUGUGUAAGUAACAACUCACCGGCCGAAUGAAUCAGCCCUGAAAAUGGAUGGCGCUCAAGCGUGCUACCCAUACCUCGCCGCCAGGGUAGAAACGAUGCCCUGGCGAGUAGGCAGGCGUGGGGGUCAGUGACGAAGCCUUGGGAGUGAUCCCGGGUAGAACGGCCUCUAGUGCAGAUCUUGGUGGUAGUAAGUUGAUUCGUGCCCGAGGUCUUUGGAGAUGCACCACUAACGAGCAUCUCAGGUAGCAAAUACUCAAAUGAGAACUUUGAGGACUGAAGUGGGGAAAGGUUCCAUGUGAACAGCAGUUGGACAUGGGUUAGUCGAUCCUAAGAGAUAGGGAAACUCCGUUUCAAAGCGCGCACUUGUGCGCCGUCCCUCGAAAGGGAAGCCGGUUAAUAUUCCGGCACCUGGAUGUGGAUUCUCCACGGCAACGUAACUGAACGCGGAGACGUCGGCGGGGGCCCCGGGAAGAGUUCUCUUUUCUUCUUAACGGCCUAUCACCCUGAAAUCGGUUUGUCCGGAGCUAGGGUUUAACGGCCGGUAGAGCUCCGCACCUUUGUGGGGUCCGGUGCGCUCCCGACGACCCUUGAAAAUCCGCGGGAAGGAAUAGUUUUCACGCCAGGUCGUACUCAUAACCGCAGCAGGUCUCCAAGGUGAACAGCCUCUAGUUGAUAGAAAAAUGUAGAUAAGGGAAGUCGGCAUAAUAGAUCCGUAACUUCGGGAAAAGGAUUGGCUCUAAGGGUUGGGUGCACUGGGCCUUGGGGGGACGUCCCCGGAGCAGUUGGGCACUAGCUGUAAUGGCCGGCGCCCGGCAGCAUCGGGGUUCAGACGCCCUUGGCAGGCUUCGGCCGUCCGGUGCAUAAUUAACAACCGACUUAGAACUGGUAGUAAGUCUUUAAACCCUCUAUGAAUCAACACAGAACUCGUCCUAACGUGUUUUCAGCGGACAAGGGGAAUCUGACUGUCUAAUUAAAACAUAGCAUUGCGAUGGCCAGAAAGUGGUGUUGACGCAAUGUGAUUUCUGCCCAGUGCUCUGAAUGU